rnacentral:rRNA from 1 species
AAUGAACGCUGGCGGCAUGCCUAAUACAUGCAAGUCGAGCGACCAGACAGUAAGAUUUCUCCUCUACGGUUAGCGACUGACGGAUGAGUGACACAUACAUAACCUUCCUCUAUUACUUGGGUAACUUCGUGGGACCACUUAUACUAACAGCUCAUAUGUUCUACGGCAUGGUUCAGUAGUUCUUGACACUUUUCCUGUCACUUAUAGCUGGUUCCGUGCCGGCUUAGCUAGUUGGUAAGGUAACGGCCUACCAAGGCAACGAUGCGUAGCCGAUCUGAGAGGAUGAUCGGCCACACUGGAACUGAGACACGGUCCAGACUCCUACGGGAGGCAGCAGUGGGGAAUAUUCCGCAAUGGGCGAAAGCCUGACGCAGCAAUGCCGCGUGAGUGAAGAAGGCCUUCGGAUCGUAAAGCUCUGUUAUUAGGGAAGAAAAAAAGUGGAAGAAACUACGGAUGUUUUGACGGUACCCAAUGAGAAAGCAACGGCUAACUUCGUG